rnacentral:misc_RNA from 1 species
GAUGAAGAACGCAGCGAAAUGCGAUAAGUAGUGUGAAUUGCAGAAUUCAGUGAACAUCGAAUCUUUGAACGCACAUUGCGCCCUUUGGUAUUCCAAAGGGCAUGCCUGUUCGAGCGUCAUUUGUACCCUCAAGCUUUGCUUGGUGUUGGGCGUCUUGUCUCUAGCUUUGCUGGAGACUCGCCUUAAAGUAAUUGGCAGCCGGCCUACUGGUUUCGGAGCGCAGCACAAGUCGCACUCUCUAUCAGCAAAGGUCUAGCAUCCAUUAAGCCUUUUUUUCAACUUUUGACCUCGGAUCAGGUAGGGAUACCCGCUGAACUUAAGCAUAUCAAUAAGCGGAGGA